UGAGGAAUAUUGGUCAAUGGGCGGCAGCCUGAACCAGCCAUCCCGCGUGAAGGAAGAAUGCGCUAUGCGUUGUAAACUUCUUUUCCAGGAGAAUAAAAUGCCAUACGUGUAUGGUACUGAAGGUAUCCUGGGAAUAAGCAUCGGCUAACUCCGUGCCAGCAGCCGCGGUAAUACGGAGGAUGCGAGCGUUAUCCGGAUUUAUUGGGUUUAAAGGGUGCGUAGGCGGGAUUAUAAGUCAGUGGUGAAAACCUGCAGCUUAACUGUAGACUUGCCAUUGAUACUGUAGUUCUUGAGUGUGGUCAAGGCAGGCGGAAUGUGUAAUGUAGCGGUGAAAUGCUUAGAUAUUACACAGAACACCGAUUGCGAAGGCAGCUUGCUGGGCCAAUACUGACGCUGAGGC
rnacentral:rRNA from 1 species